GACAAGAGCUCAUAUCAAAUGGAUUUAACUUUUUGACUUUUCAACAUCAACCAUUCUGGGAUUCUGUGAUCUUUCCAUAAGCCCUGCCUGCGAGAGAAGAGAUGCUACCAAAGCAACAGGAACAUGCUCUUGUUGUGAUUCAUCCCAAAUAGCUUUCAACAUUACAUUUCACUGCGUCACUCGAGGCUUCCUUUCAGCAAGUAUUUGUACUGAGCAUUAGGCUUCAAUUCACCUGAUCUGGCUCUAGCAACAAACGUCAGCAUCCGGG
rnacentral:lncRNA from 1 species